ACGCUCGACACCUACGGGAGCAGCAGUCGGGAAUAUUGCGCAAUGGAGGGAACUCUGACGCAGUGACGCCGCGUAUAGGAAGAAGGUUUUCGGAUUGUAAACUAUUGUCGUUAGGGAAGAGAAAGGACAGUACCUAAGGAGGAAGCUCCGGCUAACUACGUACCAGCAGCCGCGGUAAUCUGAGCGGGCUGGCAAGGC
rnacentral:rRNA from 1 species